UGGGGAAUUUUGGACAAUGGGCGAAAGCCUGAUCCAGCAAUGCCGCGUGUGUGAAGAAGGCCUUCGGGUUGUAAAGCACUUUUGUCCGGAAAGAAAUCCUUGGCUCUAAUACAGUCGGGGGAUGACGGUACCGGAAGAAUAAGCACCGGCUAACUACGUGCCAGCAGCCGCGGUAAUACGUAGGGUGCAAGCGUUAAUCGGAAUUACUGGGCGUAAAGCGUGCGCAGGCGGUUUGCUAAGACCGAUGUGAAAUCCCCGGGCUCAACCUGGGAACUGCAUUGGUGACUGGCAGGCUAGAGUAUGGCAGAGGGGGGUAGAAUUCCACGUGUAGCAGUGAAAUGCGUAGAGAUGUGGAGGAAUACCGAUGGCGAAGGCAGCCCCCUGGGCCAAUACUGACGCUCAUGCACGAAAGCGUGGGGAGCAAACAGGAUUAGAUACCCUGGUAGUCCACGCCCUAAAACGAUGUCAACUAGUUGUUGGGGAUUCAUUUCCUUAGUAACGUAGCUAACGCGUGAAGUUGACCGCCUGGGGAGUACGGUCGCAAGAUUAAAACUUAAAGGAAUUGACGGGGUCAUAGC
rnacentral:rRNA from 1 species